rnacentral:rRNA from 1 species
CCUACGGGUGGCAGCAGUGAGGAAUAUUGGUCAAUGGACGAGAGUCUGAACCAGCCAAGUAGCGUGAAGGAUGACUGCCCUAUGGGUUGUAAACUUCUUUUAUAUGGGAAUAAAACGUUCCACGUGUGGGAUUUUGUAUGUACCAUAUGAAUAAGGAUCGGCUAACUCCGUGCCAGCAGCCGCGUUAAUACGGAGGAUCCGAGCGUUAUCCGGAUUUAUUGGGUUUAAAGGGAGCGUAGGUGGAUUGUUAAGUCAGUUGUGAAAGUUUGCGGCUCAACCGUAAAAUUGCAGUUGAAUCUGGCAGUCUUGAGUACAGUAGAGGUGGGCGGAAUUCGUGGUGUAGCGGUGAAAUGCUUAGAUAUCACGAAGAACUCCGAUUGCGAAGGCAGUUCACUGGACUGCAACUGACACUGAGGCUCGAAAGUGUGGGUAUCAAACAGGAUUAGAUACCCCUGUAGUC